rnacentral:rRNA from 1 species
UACAGAGGGUGCGAGCGUUAAUCGGAAUUACUGGGCGUAAAGGGUGCGUAGGUGGUUGUAUAAGUUAGAUGUGAAAUUCCUGGGCUUAACCUGGGGACUGCGUCUGAUACUGUAUGGCUAGAGUUCUGUAGAGGAAAGUGGAAUUUCCGGUGUAGCAGUGAAAUGCGUAGAUAUCGGAAGGAACAUCAGUGGCGAAGGCGACUUUCUGGACAGAAACUGACACUGAGGCACGAAAGCGUGGGGAGCAAACAGG